rnacentral:rRNA from 1 species
AUUGCCUCAGUAACGGCGAAGUGAAGCGGCAACAGCUCAAAUUUGAAAUCUGGCUCCUCUGGGGUCCGAAUUGUAAUUUGUAGAGGAUGCUUCGGGGAUCGGCCCGGUCUAAGUUCCUUGGAACAGGACGUCACAGAGGGUGAGAAUCCCGUACGUGAUCGGACGCCGACUCCAUGUGAAGCACCUUCGACGAGUCGAGUUGUUUGGGAAUGCAGCUCUAAAUGGGUGGUAAAUUUCAUCUAAAGCUAAAUACUGGCCGGAGACCGAUAGCGCACAAGUAGAGUGAUCGAAAGAUGAAAAGCACUUUGGAAAGAGAGUUAAACAGUACGUGAAAUUGUUGAAAGGGAAGCGCUUGCAACCAGACUUGCCUGCGGUUGAUCAACCGAUGUUCUCACCGGUGCACUCGACCGUGGUCAGGCCAGCAUCGGUUCUAGCGGUGGGACAAAGACCGCGGGAAUGUAGCUCCUCUCGGGGAGUGUUAUAGCCCGUGGUGUAAUGCCACCCGCCGGGACCGAGGACCGCGCUUCGGCUAGGAUGCUGGCGUAAUGGUUGUAAGCGACCCGUCUUGAAACACGGACCAAGGAGUCUAACAUCUAUGCGAGUGUUUGGGUGUCAAACCCAUACGCGUAAUGAAAGUGAACGGAGGUGGGAACCCUUAAGGGUGCACCAUCGACCGAUCCUGAUGUCUUCGGAUGGAUUUGAGUAAGAGCAUAGCUGUUGGGACCCGAAAGAUGGUGAACUAUGCCUGAAUAGGGUGAAGCCAGAGGAAACUCUGGUGGAGGCUCGCA